GACAGCAGCCGCCGCGGGAAUACAGAGGGUGCGAGCGUUAAUCGGAUUUACUGGGCGUAAAGCGUGCGUAGGCGGCUUCUUAAGUCGGAUGUGAAAUCCCUGAGCUUAACUUAGGAAUUGCAUUCGAUACUGGGAAGCUAGAGUAUGGGAGAGGAUGGUAGAAUUCCAGGUGUAGCGGUGAAAUGCGUAGAGAUCUGGAGGAAUACCGAUGGCGAAGGCAGCCAUCUGGCCUAAUACUGACGCUGAGGUACGAAAGCAUGGGGAGCAAACAGGAUUAGAUACCCCUGUAGUCCCUGUCUCUUAUAC
rnacentral:rRNA from 1 species